rnacentral:tRNA from 1 species
AGAGACUUAGGUUAAAUUAGACCAGCAGCCUUCAAAGCUGUUAGUGGAAGUUAGAAUCCUCCAGUCCCUG